AAUAGAUACCCAGGUAGUCCACGCCGUAAACGAUGAGUGCUAAGUGUUAGGGGGUUUCCGCCCCUUAGUGCUGCAGCUAACGCAUUAAGCACUCCGCCUGGGGGAGUACGGCCGCAAGGCUGAAACUCAAAGGAAUUGACGGGGGCCCGCACAAGCGGUGGAGCAUGUGGUUUAAUUCGAAGCAACGCGAAGAACCUUACCAGGUCUUGACAUCCUCUGACAACUCUAGAGAUAGAGCGUUCCCCUUCGGGGGACAGAGUGACAGGUGGUGCAUGGUUGUCGUCAGCUCGUGUCGUGAGAUGUUGGGUUAAGUCCCGCAACGAGCGCAACCCUUGAUCUUAGUUGCCAGCAUUCAGUUGGGCACUCUAAGGUGACUGCCGGUGACAAACCGGAGGAAGGUGGGGAUGACGUCAAAUCAUCAUGCCCCUUAUGACCUGGGCUACACACGUGCUCAAUGGACGGUACAAAGAGUCGCAAGACCGCGAGGUGGAGCUAAUCUCAUAAAACCGUUCUCAGUUCGGAUUGCAGG
rnacentral:rRNA from 1 species